rnacentral:rRNA from 1 species
AGUGAACGCUGGCGGUAGGCCUAACACAUGCAAGUCGAACGGCAGCACAGUAAGAGCUUGCUCUUACGGGUGGCGAGUGGCGGACGGGUGAGGAAUACAUCGGAAUCUACUUUUUCGUGGGGGAUAACGUAGGGAAACUUACGCUAAUACCGCAUACGACCUACGGGUGAAAGCAGGGGAUCUUCGGACCUUGCGCGAUUGAAUGAGCCGAUGUCGGAUUAGCUAGUUGGCGGGGUAAAGGCCCACCAAGGCGACGAUCCGUAGCUGGUCUGAGAGGAUGAUCAGCCACACUGGAACUGAGACACGGUCCAGACUCCUACGGGAGGCAGCAGUGGGGAAUAUUGGACAAUGGGCGCAAGCCUGAUCCAGCCAUACCGCGUGGGUGAAGAAGGCCUUCGGGUUGUAAAGCCCUUUUGUUGGGAAAGAAAAGCAGCAGGUGAAUACCCCGCUGUUCUGACGGUACCCAAAGAAUAAGCACCGGCUAACUUCGUG